rnacentral:rRNA from 1 species
AUUGAACGCUGGCGGCAGGCCUAACACAUGCAAGUCGAACGAGUGGCGGACGGGUGAGUAAUGUCUGGGAAACUGCCCGAUGGAGGGGGAUAACUACUGGAAACGGUAGCUAAUACCGCAUACCAUCGGAUGUGCCCAGAUGGGAUUAGCUAGUAGGUGGGGUAACGGCUAACCUAGGCGCCGCGCCCUAGCUGGUCGGAGAGGAUGACCAGCCCCACCGGAACUGAGACACGUGCCAGACGCCUACGGGAUGCGGCAGUGGGGAAUAUUGCACAAUUGGCGCCAGCCUGAUGCAGCCAUGCCGCGGGUAUGAAGAAGGCCUGCGGGUUGUAAAGUACUUUCAGCGAGGAGGCGUUACUCGCAGAAGAAGCACAGGCUAACUCCGUGCCAGCCGCCGCGGUAAUUC